rnacentral:rRNA from 1 species
AUUGAACGCUGGCGGCAGGCCUAACACAUGCAAGUCGAACGAGUGGCGGACGGGUGAGUAAUGUCUGGGAAACUGCCCGAUGGAGGGGGAUAACUAAUGGAAACUGUAGCUUAUACCGCAUUCCAGCAUGAGUGCCCAGAUGGGAUUCGCUAGUAGGUGGGGUAACGGCUCACCUAGGCGACGAUCCCUAGCUGGUCGGAGAGGAUGACCAGCAACACUGGAACUGAGACACGGUCCAGACUCCUACGGGAGGCAGCAGUGGGGAAUAUUGCACAAUGGGCGCAAGCCUGAUGCAGCCAUGCCGCGUGUAUGAAGAAGGCCUUAGGGUUGUAAAGUACUUUCAGCGAGGAGGCGUUACUCGCAGAAGAAGCACCGGCUAACUCCGUGCCAGCAGCCGCGGUAAUUC